rnacentral:rRNA from 1 species
UACGUAGGGUGCGGGCGUAAUCGGAAUUACUGGGCGUAAAGCGUGCGCAGGCGGCUUCGCAAGUCAGGCGUGAAAUCCCCGGGCUUAACCUGGGAAUGGCGUCUGAAACUACGGAGCUGGAGUGUGGCAGAGGGAGGUAGAAUUCCACGUGUAGCGGUGAAAUGCGUAGAUAUGUGGAGGAAUACCGAUGGCGAAGGCAGCCUCCUGGGCCAACACUGACGCUCAUGCACGAAAGCGUGGGGAGCAACAGG